AGUGAACGCUGGCGGUAGGCCUAACACAUGCCAGUCGAACGGCAGCACAGUAAGAGCUUGCUCUUACGGGUGGCGAGUGGCGGACGGGUGAGGAAUACAUCGGAAUCUACUUUUUCGUGGGGGAUAACGUAGGGAAACUUACGCUAAUACCGCAUACGACCUACGGGUGAAAGCAGGGGAUCUUCGGACCUUGCGCGAUUGAAUGAGCCGAUGUCGGAUUAGCUAGUUGGCGGGGUAAAGGCCCACCAAGGCGACGAUCCGUAGCUGGUCUGAGAGGAUGAUCAGCCACACUGGAACUGAGACACGGUCCAGACUCCUACGGGAGGCAGCAGUGGGGAAUAUUGGACAAUGGGCGCAAGCCUGAUCCAGCCAUACCGCGUGGGUGAAGAAGGCCUUCGGGUUGUAAAGCCCUUUUGUUGGGAAAGAAAAGCAGCAGGUUAAUACCCCGCUGUUCUGACGGUACCCAAAGAAUAAGCACCGGCUAUCUUCGU
rnacentral:rRNA from 1 species